rnacentral:tmRNA from 1 species
GGGGCCGACCUGGAUUCGACGCCGGUAUUGAACUCUGUGGUGCAUGUCGAGAAGGUCACGAUUCUCGUAAAUCCUUAGUGACACAUUAAAGUAAUCGCAAACGACGAUUCUUACGCACUAGCAGCUUAAACCCUGCUUAUCGCCAAUCGACCCUGCCUGUGGGGAAGAGCGGCGAGCAUCGCAACACAGGCUCGCAGCAACGUCCGC